rnacentral:lncRNA from 1 species
CCAGCAGCCCCCUUUUUUUCCAGACAAAGGGUUGUGAACCUGCCUGGGGAUGAAGCCUGGUCUUAAGGAAACUGGACUUGGCUUCGCGGGCCGGGCCUGACAGCUCUGGCCCAGGGUGGUAUGUAA